AAUCUUAUAGUUUAAUUAAAACAUUAAAUUGCAAAUUUAAAAAUGAUUAUUUCUAAGAUUU
rnacentral:tRNA from 1 species